rnacentral:rRNA from 1 species
UGGCGAUCACGGGUAACGGGGAAUUAGGGUUCGAUUCCGGAGAGGGAGCCUGAGAAAUGGCUACCACAUCUAAGGAAGGCAGCAGGCGCGUAAAUUACCCAAUCCUAAUUCAGGGAGGUAGUGACAAGAAAUAACAACUCGGACCUCACUCGAGGUUACGAGAUUGCAAUGAGAACAAUUUAAACCUCUUAUCGAGUAACAAUUGGAGGGCAAGUCUGGUGCCAGCAGCCGCGGUAAUUCCAGCUCCAAUAGCGUAUAUUAAAGUUGUUGCAGUUAAAAAGCUCGUAGUUGAAUAUCUGGCCGGUGCUGUUCUCGGCUCCCUGAGUCGGCUCAGCGCCUGGUCAUCCGUAUGGGAAACUAGCUCGACCUUCACUGGUCGGCUAGUGGAUCAUACACUUUACUUUGAAAAAAUUAGAGUGUUUCAGGCAGGCAAUUGCUUGGAUACUGUAGCAUGGAAUAAUGGAAUAGGACUUUGACCUAUUUGUUGGUUUCUCGAGGUCAAAGUAAUGAUUAAUAGGGACAGUUGGGGGCAUUCGUAUUUAAUUGUCAGAGGUGAAAUUCUUGGAUUUUUUAAAGACGAACUUAUGCGAAAG